GCUUAGAGAGGGGUCAAUGUCCUAUCAGCUAGUUGGUAGGGUAAUGGCCUACCAAGGCUAAGACGGGUAGCCGGCCUGAGAGGGUGGUCGGCCACACUGGGACUGAGACACUGCCCAGACUCCUACGGGAGGCUGCAGUCGAGAAUCUUUCGCAAUGCCCGAAAGGGUGACGAAGCGACGCCGCGUGUGGGAAGAAGGCCUUCGGGUUGUAAACCACUGUCGGGAGUUAAGAAAUGUAAGGGUGUUAAUAGCAUCCUUACUUGACUAAGGCUCCGGAGGAAGCCACGGCUAACUCUGUGCCAGCAGCCGCGGUAAUACAGAGGCGGCAAGCGUCGUUCGGAAUUAUUGGGCGUAAAGAGCACGUAGGCGGCCUUGUAAGUCAGUUGUGAAAGCCUUCUGCUUAACGGAAGAACAGCAUCUGAUACUGCAAGGCUAGAGUACGGAAGGG
rnacentral:rRNA from 1 species